rnacentral:rRNA from 1 species
GAUGAACGUUGGCGGCGUGGAUUAGGCAUGCAAGUCGAGCGAGAACCGUAGCAAUACGGGGACAGCGGCGAAAGGGAGAGGAACACGUGGGUACCUACCCUCAGGCUCAGGAUAGCCAUGGGAAACUAUGGGUAAUACUGAAUAAUGUCUUCGGACCAAGGGUGUGAUUCCGUCCGAGGAGGGGCCCGCGUCCUAUUAGCUAGUUGGUGAGGUAACGGCUCACAAAGGCGAAGAUGGGUACGGGAUGUGAGAGCAUAAUCCCGCUCAUUGGGACUGAGACACUGCCCAGACACCUACGGGUGGCUGCAGUCGAGAAUCUUCGGCAAUGGGGGAAACCCUGACCGAGCGACGCCGCGUGCGAGAUGAAGGCCUUCGGGUUGUAAAUCGCUGUCAGUGGGGAGGAAAUGCUGGUGGGUUCUCCCAUCAGUUUGACCUAUCCGCAGAGGAAGGACGGGCUAAGUUCGUGCCAGCAGCCGCGGUAA